rnacentral:rRNA from 2 species
ACGGGAGGCAGCAGUGGGGAAUAUUGCACAAUGGGGGAAACCCUGAUGCAGCGACGCCGCGUGAACGAUGAAGUAUUUCGGUAUGUAAAGUUCUAUCAGCAGGGAAGAUAAUGACGGUACCUGACUAAGAAGCACCGGCUAAAUACGUGCCAGCAGCCGCGGUAAUACGUAUGGUGCAAGCGUUAUCCGGAUUUACUGGGUGUAAAGGGUGCGUAGGUGGCAUGGCAAGUCUGAAGUGAAAUGCGGGGGCUCAACCCCUGAACUGCUUUGGAAACUGUCAAGCUAGAGUGCAGGAGAGGAAAGCGGAAUUCCUAGUGUAGCGGUGAAAUGCGUAGAUAUUAGGAGGAACACCAGUGGCGAAGGCGGCUUUCUGGACUGUAACUGACACUGAGGCACGAAAGCGUGGGGAGCAAACAGGAUUAGAUACCCUGGUA